GGAGCCGGACAGGCAAUCGCGCCCCCUUGGAUGAAGUCCACGGGGGCGAGGAAAGUCCGGGCUCCACAGGACGGGGUGCCAGGUAACGCCUGGGGGGCGCAAGCCUACGGAAAGUGCCACAGAAAACACACCGCCGAUGGCGUCGCAAGGCGCACAGGCAAGGUUGAAAAGGUGCGGUAAGAGCGCACCGCGCGGCUGGUAACAGACGUGGCAGGGUAAACCCCACCCGGAGCAAGACCAAAUAGGGGGACGGUUGGCCGAAAGGUCACGACGCGUGGUCCGCGCGGUCCCCGGGUAGGUCGCUAGAGGCGGUCGGUGACGGCCGUCGCAGACGAAUGAUUGCCCUCGACAGAACCCGGCUUAUCGGCCGGCUCCCCGC
rfam:Immundisolibacter cernigliae strain TR3.2, complete genome.